rnacentral:rRNA from 1 species
CGCGUAGGCGGCCAGCGCAAGUCAGUUGUGAAAUCUCCGGGCUUAACUCGGAACGGUCAACUGAUACUGCGCGGCUAGAGUGCGGAAGGGGCAACUGGAAUUCUCGGUGUAGCGGUGAAAUGCGUAGAUAUCGAGAAGAACACCUGCGGCGAAGGCGGGUUGCUGGGCCGACACUGACGCUGAUGCGCGAAAGCCAGGGGAGCGAACG